rnacentral:sRNA from 1 species
GAUAAAUAUAAAAAACCAAAGACAGUUGGUGGGUAAAACCCUUAAAUGAAUGUGCCAGCCGAGGUUUUGAACAUAGAGAUGAGUUUAAUAACCCCUGGCAUUUAUAUGUGUCAGGGGUUUUUA